rfam:Capsicum annuum cultivar Zunla-1 chromosome 5, whole genome shotgun sequence
GAUGAAAAAGUGAUUGGAUUGGAGGGGGAGGGACUAGCCAGAGUGACAAAGGGAUGAAUCUCAUCCCUUCUAUUGGCGAUGCACUCUUGGACUUAACUAGAUGGGCCGUGCCUCUGGUGCUGUUAAUUUAAAAAAAUUAGAGUGCUCAAAGAAAACCCAUGCUCUGUAUACAUUAGCAAGGGAUAAUAUUAUAAGAUUUUAGUCCCAUUACAUUGGCCUUUGAGAUUGGAGUAAUGGUUAAACGGGAUAGUUGGAGGCAUUCGUAUUUCAUAGUCAAAGGUGAAAUUCUGGGAUUUAUGAAAGACGAACAACUGUGGAAGAAUUUUUCAAGGAUGUGUUCAUUAAUCAAGAAUGAAAAUUGGGGGCUCGAAGAUGAUCAGAUACUACUUGUAGAUCUUUGUUCUGUGGUGCGGCUCAAUAAUGCAGCUGCACUGUCCUACCUAUUUAAAGUUUAAGAAUAGGUCAUUC